GAUGAAGAACGUAGUGAAAUGCGAUAAGUAGUGUGAAUUGCAGAAUUCAGUGAAUCAUCGAAUCUUUGAACACACAUUGCGCCCCUUGGUAUUCCAUGGGGCAUGCCUGUUCGAGCGUCAUUUGUACCUUCAAGCUUUGCUUGGUGUUGGGUGUUUGUCUCGCCUUUGCGUGUAGACUCGCCUUAAAAUAAUUGGCAGCCGGCGUAUUGAUUUCGGAGCGCAGUACAUCUCGCGCUUUGCACUCAUAACGACAGCGUCCAAAAGUACAUUUUACACUCUUGACCUCGGAUCAGGUAGGGAUACCCGCUGAACUUAAGCAUAUCAAUAAGCGGAGGA
rnacentral:misc_RNA from 1 species